CAAAUGCUUCAGCCGCUGAUGGCUCAUCUGUGAAAUGAGAUGCACUGGCCAGUUGGUGAACUCUGGCAGAGAGUGAGCCUGUAGCUUUGCUUUGGACGAUGGGAAAUGCACAGUUCAUCGUUUCCUGAGCCUUUCUUCCUCUGUCCUGAAGGCUGUUUUGUGGUGAGAAAUGAAAUGAAAGCAAUCACGAGCUCCAGGAGCCUUUUGGCACUGUAUGUUUUUGUUGUCAUAAAAAUCAUAAAAGUAAGCACCGUGUUCCUACCAGAACCUGGAGCUCUAAUCAGACACCCAAGGCUGAGGUCUUCUGUUGUGCUUUGCCUGUGCUGGUCUUAGACUCCUCGGGCUGUAAUUCCUACUGGGAGGCCUCAAAGGUGUGCCAGUGCGCUGGAGUCCCUUGCUGCAAGAAACCUGGGCUGGCAGCAGAUAAUUAAUGAGAGGAUGAAAGUGUGAAGAAAAAAAGAAGAGUGGGAUCAUCAGGUAUCUUCCAAAAUGGAUUGUAAUAGAAAGUGGCAGAAUAUGCUGGCAAUAAAAU